AUAUCAUCCACUCCACCACGGUGGGUGGGGGGCCCUGCAUGUGCAGGUCAGUCCUCACUAUGUGCUGGGAGGCCAGAAGAAGAAGGAAGAGGAAAGUGAGAUAUGAAGCUGUAUGGCAGAUAAACUUGAUGAAUGGCUUUUUAAUGAACAGUCCCAGCCUGCUCUUGGGUGCGAAAAGAUAUGCCAACGAUAAUACUGGGAAAAGCAGUCCGAUUGUGAUGCAGGUCAACAAUUUCACUGCCCAGUGCUUCCUGCGCCAACCUGGGAAUCCAUCGUACCACAAUGUAGCUAGUAAUUGUUGGCAGUUUGGC